GGGGGGAUUCCGGACUUAACUCCCAACCCAAUGUGACGUUACCAAACUGUUGCCUCGGCGGGAUCUCUGCCCCGGGUGCGUCGCAGCCCCGGACCAAGGCGCCCGCCGGAGGACCAACCAAAACUCUUAUUGUAUACCCCCUCGCGGGUUUUUUUAUAAUCUGAGCCUUCUCGGCGCCUCUCGUAGGCGUUUCGAAAAUGAAUCAAAACUUUCAACAACGGAUCUCUUGGUUCUGGCAUCGAUGAAGAACGCAGCGAAAUGCGAUAAGUAAUGUGAAUUGCAGAAUUCAGUGAAUCAUCGAAUCUUUGAACGCACAUUGCGCCCGCCAGUAUUCUGGCGGGCAUGCCUGUCCGAGCGUCAUUUCAACCCUCGAACCCCUCCGGGGGGUCGGCGUUGGGGAUCGGCCCUGCCUUGGCGGUGGCCGUCUCCGAAAUACAGUGGCGGUCUCGCCGCAGCCUCUCCUGCGCAGUAGUUUGCACACUCGCAUCGGGAGCGCGGCGCGUCCACAGCCGUUAAACACCCAACUUCUGAAAUGUUGACCUCGGAUCAGGUACGAAUACCCGCUGAACUUAAGCAUAUCAAUAAGCGAGAUAUUUACGAGUUUACAACUCCAAACCAUGUGAAGUUACAACGGUUGCCCCGGGGAAUCUUGCCCGGGUUGGUCCACCCCGACAAGG
rnacentral:rRNA from 1 species